rnacentral:rRNA from 1 species
GAUGAACGCUGGCGGCGUGCCUAAUACAUGCAAGUCGAGCGAACAGACGAGGAGCUUGCUCCUCUGACGUUAGCGGCGGACGGGUGAGUAACACGUGGAUAACCUACCUAUAAGACUGGGAUAACUUCGGGAAACCGGAGCUAAUACCGGAUAACAUGUUGAACCGCAUGGUUCAACAGUGAAAGACGGUCUUGCUGUCACUUAUAGAUGGAUCCGCGCCGCAUUAGCUAGUUGGUAAGGUAACGGCUUACCAAGGCAACGAUGCGUAGCCGACCUGAGAGGUUGAUCGGCCACACUGGAACUGAGACACGGUCCAGACUCCUACGGGAGGCAGCAGUAGGGAAUCUUCCGCAAUGGGCGAAAGCCUGACGGAGCAACGCCGCGUGAGUGAAGAAGGUCUUCGGAUCGUAAAACUCUGUUAUUAGGGAAGAACAAAUGUGUAAGUAACUAUGCACGUCUUGACGGUACCCAAUCAGAAAGCCACGGCUAACUACGUG